GCGUCCGUAGCUCAGUUCGGAUAGAGCAUUACUUUCCGAAAGUAAAGGUUUCAGGUUCAAAUCCUGUCGGGCGCA
rnacentral:tRNA from 1 species